rnacentral:rRNA from 1 species
AUUGAACGCUGGCGGCAGGCCUAACACAUGCAAGUCGAACGAGUGGCGGACGGGUGAGUAAUGUCUGGGAAACCGCCUGAGGGUGGGGGAUAAGUACUGGAAACAGUAGCUAAUACCGCAUACAAUCAGAUGUUCCCAGAUGGGUUUGGAUUGGUGGGGGGGUAACGGCGCACCAAGGCGACGAUCCCUACCUGGUCUGAGCGGAUGACCAGCCUCACUGGAACUGCGACACGGUCCAGGCGCCUAGGGGUAACGACAGUGGGUAAUAUUGCACAAUGUGCGGGAGCCUGACGCGGCCAUCCCGCGAGUAUGAAGAAGGCCUCGGGGUUGUAACGUACUUUCAGUGGGGAGGCGUUACCCGCAGCAGAAGCACCGGCUAACUCCGUGCCAGCCGCCGCGGUAAUAC